CCUACGGGUGGCAGCAGUAGGGAAUCUUCCACAAUGGGCGAAAGCCUGAUGGAGCAACGCCGCGUGGGUGCAGAAGGUCUUCGGAUCGUAAAACCCUGUUGUUAGAGAAGAAAGUGCGUGAGAGUAACUGUUCACGUUUCGACGGUAUCUAACCAGAAAGCCACGGCUAACUACGUGCCAGCAGCCGCGGGGAUACGUAGUUGGCAAGCGUUAUCCGGAUUUAGUGGGCGGAAAGGGCACGCAGGCGGGCUUUUAAGUCUGAUGUGAAAGCCUUGGGCUUAACCGGAGGAGUGAAAUGGAAACUGGGAGACUUGAGUGCAGAAGAGGAGAGUGGAACUCCAGGUGUAGCGGGGAAAUGCGUAGAUAUAUGGAAGAACAC
rnacentral:rRNA from 1 species